rnacentral:ncRNA from 2 species
AACCGGAACUCUGGAGAGUAGCAACCGUGAUCGGGGGCUCGCCGAAGGGAUAACAAUCUCAGGCGAAAAGGACAGAGGGGGCUCG